UCUUCUGUAGAUCGAGGUGGAUUGAUUUCUCUAGAAAAAUUCUCUAGAUUGCCGGCUUUUGAACCCUGGAAUUUGUGGGAACUUUAUGCCAUGAUGCUGCAGAAAAGAACUGCAAAGUAUCAACAAGAUGCAUUCCUCAUUAUGCCUUUUGAAAGGAUGGCUGUAUUCAAAGAUGAAGGAGAAGAAAGGCAAAGUCUGGUUUCUGGACUUAAAAGAACUCUCAUAAGAGGCAGAUAUUUAGAUCAGACUGAAAUGGCCUGAAACCAUCUUUAUUAUUCUGGCAUCCAAGCAGUCAGCUUGCCUGCUUGAAAUUCCACACAUCUUAUAGAUGAAACAUAUUCUUUGGGUGUGCUCAGUGGCUGCAUGACUCCUCAAGUCAUGCAGCUCCAAGCUCCCUCCUGCUCCCAGAGAAGCAGUUUUCUUCUCCACUGGAUUUCCAGAGGAAGACCAGACCCAUCUACAUCACCACUGGAUCUUCAGAGGAAAACUGCACCCUUCUAGAGGAUCACUGCUGCAACAGAACCACAUUUGUCACUGCAGGAGCACUGCAGCCAUGAUUUAAUGGGACUGCUACCAACACCCUGACUCACAGGGUGUCAGGUUCUAUUCUGACUCUGUCGCUGUUGUUCUGUAUUACUGCAUUGUUUAUUUUUAUUUUUUUUCCCUAAUAAAGAACUGUUAUUCUUGCUCCCA